rnacentral:rRNA from 1 species
ACAACGAAGAGUUUGAUCCUGGCUCAGGAUGAACGCUAGCGACAGGCUUAACACAUGCAAGUCGAGGGGCAGCGGGGGUAGCGAUACCCGCCGGCGACCGGCGCACGGGUGAGUAACGCGUAUGCAACUUGCCUAUCAGAGGGGGAUAACCCGGCGAAAGUCGGACUAAUACCGCAUGAAGCAGGGGCCCCGCAUGGGGAUAUUUGCUAAAGAUUCAUCGCUGAUAGAUAGGCAUGCGUUCCAUUAGGCAGUUGGCGGGGUAACGGCCCACCAAACCGACGAUGGAUAGGGGUUCUGAGAGGAAGGUCCCCCACAUUGGUACUGAGACACGGACCAAACUCCUACGGGAGGCAGCAGUGAGGAAUAUUGGUCAAUGGGCGUAAGCCUGAACCAGCCAAGUCGCGUGAGGGAUGAAGGUUCUAUGGAUCGUAAACCUCUUUUAUAAGGGAAUAAAGUGCGGGACGUGUCCCGUUUUGUAUGUACCUUAUGAAUAAGGAUCGGCUAACUCCGUGCCAGCAGCCGCGGUAAUACGGAGGAUCCGAGCGUUAUCCGGAUUUAUUGGGUUUAAAGGGUGCGUAGGCGGCCUUUUAAGUCAGCGGUGAAAGUCUGUGGCUCAACCAUAGAAUUGCCGUUGAAACUGGGGGGCUUGAGUAUGUUUGAGGCAGGCGGAAUGCGUGGUGUAGCGGUGAAAUGCAUAGAUAUCACGCAGAACCCCGAUUGCGAAGGCAGCCUGCCAAGCCAUUACUGACGCUGAUGCACGAAAGCGUGGGGAUCAAACAGGAUUAGAUACCCUGGUAGUCCACGCAGUAAACGAUGAUCACUAGCUGUUUGCGAUACACUGUAAGCGGCACAGCGAAAGCGUUAAGUGAUCCACCUGGGGAGUACGCCGGCAACGGUGAAACUCAAAGGAAUUGACGGGGGCCCGCACAAGCGGAGGAACAUGUGGUUUAAUUCGAUGAUACGCGAGGAACCUUACCCGGGUUUGAACGCAUUCGGACCGAGGUGGAAACACCUUUUCUAGCAAUAGCCGUUUGCGAGGUGCUGCAUGGUUGUCGUCAGCUCGUGCCGUGAGGUGUCGGCUUAAGUGCCAUAACGAGCGCAACCCUUGCCACUAGUUACUAACAGGUAAAGCUGAGGACUCUGGUGGGACUGCCAGCGUAAGCUGCGAGGAAGGCGGGGAUGACGUCAAAUCAGCACGGCCCUUACAUCCGGGGCGACACACGUGUUACAAUGGCGUGGACAAAGGGAGGCCACCUGGCGACAGGGAGCGAAUCCCCAAACCACGUCUCAGUUCGGAUCGGAGUCUGCAACCCGACUCCGUGAAGCUGGAUUCGCUAGUAAUCGCGCAUCAGCCAUGGCGCGGUGAAUACGUUCCCGGGCCUUGUACACACCGCCCGUCAAGCCAUGGGAGCCGGGGGUACCUGAAGUCCGUAACCGAAAGGAUCGGCCUAGGGUAAAACUGGUGACUGGGGCUAAGUCGUAACAAGGUAGCCGUACCGGAAGGUGCGGCUGGAACACCUCCUUU